rnacentral:rRNA from 1 species
AUGGCGUCAUCGUCGGCGGCUAAGCCUACGCCCACCACCACCCUCCGCGUGGCCGCCUUCAACGGCUCCCUCCGCAAGGGCUCGUGGCACGGCGGCCUCAUCCGCGCGGCCGAGGAGCUGUGCCAGGAGUCCAUACCGGGGCUGCGAAUCGACCACGUCGACAUCUCCGGCCUACCCAUGGCCACCCCGGACCUGGAGACGGACGACGGCGACGGCUUCCCGCCGGACGUCGAGGCGUUCCGGGACAGGGUCAGCGCCGCCGACUGCUUCCUCUUCGCCUCGCCCGAGUACAACUACUCCGUCACCGCCACGCUGAAGAACGCGCUGGACUGGGCGUCCAGGGGCACGCACAAGUGCUGGGCGGACAAGGCGGCGGCCAUCGUCUCCGCGGGGGGCAGCUGCGGCGGUGGCAGGGCGGCGUUCCACCUCCGCCAGAUCGGGGUGUUCCUUGACAUCCACUUCAUCAACAAGCCGGAGCUCCAGGUCAGGGCGUACGAGGACCCGCCCAAGUUCGACGCCGACGGGAACCUCGUCGACGCCGAGACCAGGGAGCGGCUCAGGCAGGUGCUCCUCUCGCUGCAGGCCUUCGCGCUCCGGCUCCAACACUAG